UCGGUGCAUUGAGAUGCAUUA
rnacentral:siRNA from 1 species